rnacentral:rRNA from 1 species
GUGCCAGCCGCCGCGGUAAAACGUAGGGGGCGAGCGUUAUCCGGAUUUACUGGGCGUAAAGCGCUCGUAGGCGGUUGGGUAAGUUGGGCGUGAAAGCUCCCGGCUUAACUGGGAGAGGUCGUUCAAAACUGCCUGGCUAGAGUGUGGGAGAGGAGAGUGGAAUUCCCGGUGUAGUGGUGGAAUGCGUAGAUAUCGGGAGGAACACCAGUGGCGAAGGCGGCUCUCUGGCCCACAACUGACGCUGAGGAGCGAAAGCGUGGGGAGCGAACGGGAUUAGAUACCCCGGUAGUCCACGCCGUAAACGAUGGAUACUAGGUGUGGGGAGUGAUUAAACUUUCCGUGCCGAAGCCAACGCGAUAAGUAUCCCGCCUGGGGAGUACGGCCGCAAGGUUAAAACUUAAAUGAAUUGACGGGG